CUAUUGACUUUGGCUAGAUAAAAUUGUGGGUUGUAACGAUCUUACCUCCUUAAAAGAAUUUCGUCCUCGAAAUUCAACUGGCAACUGACUGAGUAAUGAAUAAGUGAGGAUAUUGAGCACGCAUCUGAUCCUCAUUCUCUCACGUAGCCUCUUCUACCAUCUGAUUCUGCCAAAGUACCUUAACAAGUGAAACUGUCUGAUUUCACUGAAUUUGCACCUUUUUGUCUAAAAUUCUCACGGGCUCUUCUAUAUAUGUUAAAUUUUCUUUCAACUGGAUUGGUUGAGACUCCAGAACACGAGAAUGAUCAGCAAUGUACUUGUGAAGCAUGGAAACAUUAAAAACAUCAUGGAUCCGAGAUAAUUCAUCGAGCAGAUCUAAUCGAUAUGCAACUGGGCCAAUUCGCUCAGUAAUCUCAUAGGGUCCAAUGUAUCGUGGACUCAACUUUCCUCGCUUGCCAAAUCUCAACACCCCUUUCCAAGGUGACUAUUUAAGAAAUACUUUAUCUCCAACUACAAAUUCAAGAUCGUUCCUGUGCCUAUCAGCAUACCUUUUCUAUCUCUCUUGAGCUGCAUUACUUUUCUUUGAUCAAUUUCACAUUUUCGGAUGUCAUUUGAACCAAUUCCGAGCCUUCUAACUUCCUCUUACUAGCUUCAUCCCAACAAACUGGUGUCGUGCACUUCCGACCAUGUAAGGCUUCAAAAGGAGUCAUUUAUAUACUAGAGUGAUAGCUAUUCAUCAAUGACAAAUGAAUAUCACAGCUACCCUUGAGCUUUAAAACACAAGCCCUCAACAUAUCCUCAAGAAACUGUAUGGUCCUCUCUGACUGGCCAUCUGUCUGAGGAUGAAAAGCUAUACCGAAAUGUAGUUUAGUACCCAUGACUUCCUGCAAACUGGGCCAAAAUUUAGAUGUAAAACGAGGGUCUCUAUCUGACACAAUAGAUAAUGGAGUACCGUAAGAGCUCACUAUUUCAUCCAUGUACAACUUUGCCAACUUAUUUAAAGUAUAAGUAGCUUUGAUUGGCAAAAAUUUGGCCAUCUUGAUCAAACGAUCUACGAUAACCCAAACUCCAUCAUGACCAUUCUGAGUACGAGAAAGGCCAAAUAAAAAAUCCAUAAUAAUGUGUUCCCAUUUCCAUUUUGGGAUAGGCAAUGGCUGUAAAAGUCCUGCUGUUUUCUAACGAACUGGCUUUACCUGCUGACAUAUAAGACAUGUGGAUACAAAAUCUGAUCUCUCUCUCCAUACCAACCCACCAAUAAUAAUCUUUCAAUGUAUGAUACAUUUUAAUACUGCCUGGAUGCAUAGCAUAAGCAAAACUGUUUGCUUCUUCCAAAAUCUCUUUCUUCAAUUCUGAAAUAUUUGGAACACAUAAUCUAUUACCAUAGCCAACGCCCCCAUCAUCUCUAAUCACAUAAUCGGUUCUUAACCCAAUACUAACUUCUGCUUUCCAUAUUCUCAAUGUCUGGUCUUGAGAUUGAGCUUCUCUAACCUUAUCAAUCAAAGUAGGCCUCACCUGAAAAUGAGCUAAUACCAUCCCUGUAGUAGUAGUUGUCAACUCAGUGUGUAACUUCUUGAACUCACAAAUCAAAGAAGCAUAAACUGCACUAGAUGGAGAGGAUGAACUUGUCUUUCUAUUGAUAGCAUCUGCAACUACAUUUGCUUUUCAUGGAUGGUUGUCAAUCUUACAAUCAUAAAUUUUUAUCAACUUCAGCCAUCUCCUUUGCCUUAGAUUCAGUUCUUUCUGAUCAAAUAUAUACUUUAAACUUUUGUGAUCAGUAAAUAUUUGACAUUUCUCACCAUAAUGAUAAUGUCUCCAAAUCUUCAAUGCCAACACUACUGCAGCUAACUCUAAAUCAUGAGUUGGGUAAUUUAACUCAUGCUUCUUUAAUUGUCUAGAAGCAUAAGCUACAACUUUCUCAUUCUGCAUUAGAACACAAUUCAAUCCUUGGCGUGAAGCAUCACUAUAAAUCACAAACUCUUUACCUGAAGAUGGAAGAGUAAGUACUGGAGCAGAAACUAAUAUUUUCUUUAACUCUUGAAAACACUUUUCACAUUCAUCAGUCCACGCAAAUUUGGAGUUCUUUCGAGUCAAACUAGUCAAAGGAAGAGCAAUUUUGAAAAAUUCCUCUCCAAAUCGACGAUAAUAACCUAUUAACCUAAGAAAACUCCAUACUUCUAUAACAUUAGUAGGGCGUUCCCAUUUCGUUACUACUUCAAUUUUCUAAGAAUCUACAUAAAUACCUUCAGCUGAGAUAAUAUUACCCAAAAAUACAACUUCAUCUAGCUAAAAUUCACAUCUGUUGAGCUUAGCAUACAACUAUUUAUCUCGCAAAGUCUGUAAAAUAAUCCUUAAAUGCUCAACAUACUCAUCUCUACUGCGAGAUACUCAUCUCUACUGCGAGAAUAAACUAAGAUAUCAUCAAUAAAAAUAAUCACAAAUUUGUCUAAAUAUGGGCAAAGCGCUCUAUUUAUCAAGUCCAUAAACGCUGCAGGGGCAUUAGUCAACCCAAAUGGCAUCAUCAAAAACUCAUAAUGGCCAUACCGUGACCUAAAAGCAGUUUUUGGUACAUCAAUAUCCCUAAUUCUGAACUGAUGAUACCCUGAACGUAAAUAAAUCUUUGAAAAUACUGAGGCACCUCUAAAUUGGUCAAACAAAUCAUCAAUGCGAAGCAACAGAUACUUGUUGCGGACUGUCACUUUAUUCAACUGUCUAUAGUCAAUACACAAUCUCAUUGUGCCAUCUUUCUUAUUCACAAAUAAGACGAGCUCCCCAUGGAGAUACACUGGGUCUAAUGAAACCCUUGUCAACUAAAUCCUGCAAUUGAACUUUCAAUUCCUUCAGCUCUGCUGGAGCCAUUCUGUAAGGUGAUUGUGAAAUAGGGGUAGUCCCUGAAAUAAAAUCAAUAGUAAACUUGAUUUCCCUAUCAGGAUAUAACCCUGGAAGAUCUAAAGGAAAAACAAUUUCAGGCUAUCCUGACCUUCAAAACACCACUUCUUUGCGAAAACAAUCAACUAAUGCAUGAUUUACAGACAAAAAAUCCAUGUCCAAUACCACGUCAAAAUCAUGAAUAUCAAGUAGAAUCAAAUUAGCUUUCAACUCAUGAUCAUUUACUCUAAUUACGCAAUCUUUGUACACACUGUUAGUUAAAAGUGAAUCUCCUACAGGAGUUGCUACCACCAAAUCACUAUUUAAUGAUUCUGACAUAUGGUCCGCAUAAAUCACAGAUGCAUAAGAUAUAAAUGAAUGUGUAUCACCUAAAUCUAUUAAAGAAUGGGCCUUUUUGCCAAAAAUAGUUAACGUACCCAUAACCACAUCUAGUGACUCGUCGGCAUCAUGCUGAGUCACUACAAACACUCUUCCCUGAGUUCUGGAUCGUCCAUCCUGGCCUUUCUGUCUAGUACCACUGCUGCCAGCAGCAUCAGACUGAGUAGCACCUAUUUUGCCUACCAAAGUAUUCUGAUUCUGAUUCUAUCUAGAAAUGCCAGCACCCGAUUGCAAAAAAACCCGUGAUAUGCCACCCUGCUGGAAACGAACUGGACACUCUCUCCUCAUGUGUCUCGUCUGACCACAAUGAUAACACACUCCAAUUCCCUUAAGACACUCACCAGGGUGAAAUUUCCUGCACAACUGGUAUUGGGGAAAUCUGGCCACACCAGAGCUAUCACUCUAUCCAGGAGUGUAUGAUCUCUGAGAAGAUCUCUGAGUCUAAGUACAGUUACUCCCUGGCUGAUGUACUGAUCCCUGACUCGACCUCAAAGCCUUAACUGCCAUGAGAUCUGGACUUCAAACUGCCAGAAGUGGAAACACCUAAUCUACCUCCUCUACGAUCCCUCCUCGGUGGCCUAGUCAUAGAUCUUCCUGCCCAUGUCUAACUACUGCUUCCAAUUUUCGGUCUCUUUUGUUGUUGACCACCAUAUCGUUCAGACAAACUUUUCUCAACCCUUAAUGCUGCUUCUACAAGUUUACCCAAAUUUUCAAACCCAAACGCAAUCACCACUGAUCUAAUUUCUUCUCUCAGGCCAUAGUCAAAUCUUCUACAUUUAUCAACUUCAUCAGCUACAAGAGCAACAACAUACUUUGAUAAUUUUAGAAAUUUCUUCUGAUACUCCGCCACUGUUGAUGUCUGUAUUAUUCUCAAAAAUUCAUUCUGUUUGUCAAUUUUGUAAGAACGAGGGUAGAAAUGCUCAUUAAAAUCAUCUUUAAACUCGUCCCGCGUGAUCACAGAAGGAUCAACAUAUUUACUCUAUACGGACCUCCACUAAUCAUAAGCACAUCCUUCUAACAAGAAAGUAGCUAGUUGUAAUUUUCAAUCAUCAGGACAAUCCAUCACAUCAAAUAUUCUUUCAAUCCUCACCAUCCAUGAUUCUGCUUCUACUGGAUCAGCUGUCAUCAAUGAUUCUGCUUCUACUAGAUCAACUGCGCCUGUAAAUACUUCAGCUCCUAAUUUAGUAGCCCGCUCCAUACUACAAUCUUUAUCUGUAUUGCGUAGAGCAGAAGCAACAUCGGUGGCAAUCCUAUCAGCUAUUAAGUCAGGCUGGGCUACAUCCCUAUAUCUCUGCUGAUCAUGGGUCGGAUGGACUGAUUCCUCAACCCUACUUGCAUCCCUAUCAAGAGCAGCUGGUGGUUGAGACAACAUAUCUUGAACCCUGCGUGUCUUAUUACCACGAGCCAUGACUUCCAACUACAAAAUAUAUAUGAUAUGAUGAGAACAAAAAUCAAAUAAACCAUGCAAACUGACUUUAUAACAAUACUCUGAUGCCAAUUAACACGUCCCAAAUCACCCUAAUGGAUCCGACACAUGUUGUGCGCGAUAAUAGAUACCAGCGAAAUGCCGGACCCACCACCAAGGCAAGCUUGACAUACUUUGACUGCUAUAAUUUUAUAAAAAUUUCAACAAAGUGCCCUCUGAAAAAUGGACUAAAAUCACUUGAAAAUAAAAUCAAAUAUCCUAAACAUGUACAUAUAAUUUAAAACAGGGUACACCGACUCCUCAAAAUACCAAUUCUUCAAAAUAGUUGUACUGAAAAAGAAAUUUACCCUUCUUUACCACUAAACAACUUCAUUUUAAAACUACACAAAAUAUGCAAUGAGUCUAUGACUUAAUACAUUUUUUGAACAAAAUACAUCAAUCCUAGAAAAUAUGUGUUGUAUGAAUUAACAAGAUGAGACAUACAAACAAUGACACGAUGUAGUUCAACUUGAAGAUCGACAGGCUCCGAUAUGGCUCAACGCAGCUUCUAUCUGAUAAGAAAUGAGGUGGCAAAAAUAUGAGCUUGCGGCUCAGUAAGUGGAUAUUUGUAAAAGUAUACUUUUCCAUUCAUAAAAUUUUUCUGAAAAUCGACAUAUAACAUAAAAUUUCUUUUCACAGACAUAAAUUAAAAUAUUUAUUCUUUAAACUGAAUUCUAUAACUUAAAAUCUGAUAAUACUAUCAAAACUAAAAUAUACUGUAAUCAUAAAUAUCUUUAUUCUGUAUACUGUAUUUCUAAAAUCUAAUAAGAUAUGUAAUACUGAAAUAUCACAACAAAAAUGUACCCGGAAUAACCAUACUCGUGUAUCGAUUAAUCUCGAUAUACAUAGCAAGGUUAUUCAAUUCUGAAAUUCUAUAAUCCUGUAAUUCUGAAAUUCUAUAAUUCUGGUCGUAUGCGCGUAGAGCUAUAAAAUGAUCAUCCACUAUGGAAACAAAUUCAAAAAUAGUACAAAGCGGGUAAAAUCACUAUAUUGAUCAUACGAUGUGGAAACACAUUCACACCAAUGCAGAGUGGGUAAAAUAACCAUAUGAAGUCAUACACUGUGAAAACACAUUAACACCCGUGCAGACGAGGGUAAAAUCACCUGAAUACUUUCUAGUGGAUUUUAUAAAAUAACUUUAAAUAUGUUGAAACAUUUAAUACUCCUAUAACAUGCUAAUAAAAUAAUUUACUAAAUUGAAUUUAACUUUUAAAAACAAUUGGUUAUAAACCAACUUUAUUUUGAAAACCGUGUUGUCAAAUCGACUAUAUGAAUUAAUAAAUUUUCUAAGUUAAUAUAAAUUAAAUAAAUACU
rnacentral:lncRNA from 1 species